UUACAGUUAUGCCGCAUACGAAAGUACUGAUGUUGGAUUGUAUGUGUUCAAGGAGGAUGUGCGUGUAGGAAAAUUCUUUGAAAUUGAGAUAUUAAGCAUGGGGAAAAGCGGGUCUUUAGCUAUUGGUUUAGUGCCGGGUAGCUGUCCAAAUAAUCUUUUACCGGGAUUAGGCCGAAAUUCCUGUGGAUACCAUUCAGACGGCAAUGUGUUUAGAGGAAGCAAAUCCGAUAAAAAAUCUCGAGAUACAUGGAAAGUCGGCGAUCGAAUUAAAGUUAAAAU